UGGGUGUGGUGGUGCAUGCCUAUAGUCCCAGCUACUUGUGAGACUGAGGUGGGAGGAUCGCUUGAGUCCAGGAGUUCUGGGCUGUAGUAUGCUGUGCCGAUCAGAUGUCCACAGUAAGUUUGGCAUCAAUAUGGUGACCUCCCAGGAGCAGGGGACCACCACGUUGCCUAAGGAGGGAUGAACCAGCCCGGGUCGGAAAUGGAGCAGGUCAAAACUCCGUGCUGAUCAGUAGUGGGAUUGUGCCUGUGAAUAGCCACUGUACUCCAGCCUGGGCAAUGUAGCAAGACCCCGUCACU
rnacentral:SRP_RNA from 1 species